GUCUAGCUGACGAGUCCUAAAUAAGACCAAACCAACGUCCUGGAC
rnacentral:hammerhead_ribozyme from 1 species